UACGUAGGGUCCGAGCGUUGUCCGGAAUUAUUGGGCGUAAAGAGCUCGUAGGCGGUUUGUCGCGUCUGCUGUGAAAUCCCGAGGCUCAACCUCGGGCCUGCAGUGGGUACGGGCAGACUGGAGUGCGGUAGGGGAGAAUGGAAUUCCUGGUGUAGCGGUGGAAUGCGCAGAUAUCAGGAGGAACACCGAUGGCGAAGGCAGGUCUCUGGGCCGAUACUGACGCUGAGGAGCGAAAGCGUGGGGAGCGAACAGG
rnacentral:rRNA from 1 species